AGGCUGGGCGCGGUGGCUCAUGCUUGUAAUCCCAGCACUUUGGGAGGCCGAGGCGGGCGGGUCACGAGGGCAGGAGAUCAAGACCAUCCUGGCUAACACGGUGAAACCCUGUCUCUACUAAAAAUACAAAAAAAAUUAGCUGGGCGUGGUGGCAGGCGCCUGUAGCCCCAGCUACUCAGGAGGCUGAGGCAGGAGAAUGCUGUGAACCCAGGAGGCAGAGCUUGCAGUGAGCCGAGAUCACACCACUGCACUCCAGAGACUCCGUCUCAAAAAAAAAAAAAAGACCAGAACUAAACAACUCUCAUUAAUGACAUACAAUAUCAUUGUCCCAAAAGAAUCUACACAUAAAAUAUUGGAAAUCAGUAGACAUUUUGGCAACAUCAGAUAUAAGAUGAAUAUUUGAAAAUCCACUACAUUUCUAUAUACCAGCAACAGAAAUAUAAUUGUAAAAAAUUGUAAAAAAAACUCAUGUAACACACAACAAAACUAUAAGUUACAUAAUAACAGAUCUAAAAAAAAAGAUGCUCAGGAUACAUAAGAAAAAAUACAAUAUUUAUUAGAAGGCAUUAAUUAAAACCUAACUAAUAUGAGAGUUAUACCAUGGAUAUUUAGACUCAAUAUCACAACAAUGUCAGCACUGUCCAAACUGAGAUAUAGACUCAAUACAAUGCCAAUCAAAAUUACAAGUUGAUUCUGAUAUAUGCAACAGGCCAAAAUGCAAUGGGCCAGAAAUAGUCAAUUUACUCUUCAAGGAAAACAGUGAGAUGGCAGGACUUACCCAACAUCAGGACUUCUUAUAAAUCCAUAGCAUUUUAGACUGAAUAAUAUUAGUGCAGGUUUAGACAACUUGAUCAAUGAAUUAGGUUAAAAGCCAAAAAGCAGACCCACAGAUAUAUAGAAAUUUUUUAGAUAACAGAGAUCAAUUGUAGGUCAAUUGGAAAAAGUUGGGCUGUUCAAUAAACGAUGAUUAUUCUAGCAUAUACUCUUACAUAUACUGCUGGUGGGAUUGGAAAUUGGCAAAACAAUCUGUGAACUUGAGCAUUUACAUGCCCUAGAAUUCAUCGAUUGCACUUCUCUAGAAGAAACGCUGGUGCAUGGGAACUGCUGCAUACAGAGAUUUAUGCAAGAAUACUCACAGCAUUACCGUUUAUCACAACCAAAAAAAAACUAUAUACAAUAUGACACCAUUUUUACAAAGCUCAAAAACAAGCAAAAGUAAACAAGUAAAGUUUGUAGAUACAAACAUAUGUGAUGAAGCUUUUUUUUUUUUUUUUUUUUGAGACAGAGUUUCACUCUUGUCGCCCAGGCUAGAAUACAAUGGCGUGAUCUUGGCUCACUGCAAACUCCGCCUCCCGGGUUCAGGUGAUUCUCCUGCCUCAGCCUCCUCAGUAGCUGGGAUUACAGGCGCAUGCCACCACACCCAGCUAAUUUUGUAUUUUUAGUAGAGAUGGGGUUUCACCAUGUUGGUCAGGCUGGUCUCAAACUCCUGACCUCAGGUGAUCCACCCGCCUCAGCCUCCCAAAGCGCUGGGAUCACGCCCGGCCGAUGAAGCUACUUUUUUAAAGCAAGGAAAUAACAAACACCAAAACUCAGGGUAAUAGCUAUCUCUUCAAGGGAGACAGGCAUACAGAACAGGAAAGAACACAUAGGCACAUACAACCCUGUUGAUAAUGUUCUAAUUCUUAGAUGGGGUAGUGGGUUCACAGAUGUUCAUUUUGUUAGCAUGUCUCAUAAUACAUACUUUGCAUUUGUUAUUUUAUAUAUAAAAUUGCUAAAGAAGAAAAAACUCCCUCAAAGAAAACAGCCCCCACUUAGCAACAGUUAGGAACAGUAAGUCCUCAGUUAUAGAGGGUGAAAGACAGCUUCUUCAGCAGCCAAUUUCCAGCUGAAUUUGACUUGAGCUGCUAGAUUCGGUCAGAAGCCUGGGUGGGCAAGAUGUGAAGGAGAAUCAAGCCAAAAGGUGGAAGCUCACUCUGUACCCUGGGAAGUAGAGAAGGGCAGAGGCUUGCCCAGUGCCACACAGCUCACUGAUGGAGAGUCAGGGUUCGCGGACUGACCAGUGACGUACAAGGAGCCAGAAGGGAAGACGUGAGGGGUGGCGGGUAGCACCGAGGCCGGCCAGGCCAGGCACAGGACUGCAGCCGUCUCUGGCAUGCGGCCCAAUGCUGAUCACAAUCAGAUUCCCACCAGAGCGGAAGAACAGGACCCCGCCAGCACCUCCCAGAUCCAGAUCCAGGCUCAGACAGGAACCAAGCAGAACUGCUAUCAUCUUUGCGGAUCAGGGUUCCUG
rnacentral:lncRNA from 1 species